UACGAAGGGUGCAAGCGUUACUCGGAAUUACUGGGCGUAAAGAGCGCGCAGGCGGUCGGAUAAGUCGAAUGUGAAAGCCCCGGCUCAACUGGGGAGGGUCAUUCGAUACUGUUCGACUCGAAGGCAGGAGAGGGAAGUGGAAUUCCCGGUGUAGUGGUGAAAUGCGUAGAUAUCGGGAGGAACACCAGUGGCGAAGGCGACUUCCUGGCCUGUUCUUGACGCUGAGGCGGCGAAAGCUAGGGGAGCAAACGGGG
rnacentral:rRNA from 1 species